UGCACCUUCACCUUGGUGUUACUGACCAUUUAAACCGUAAGAAGAAAAAGAUGGAUCUUCCUCUUUGUUGUAUGGCUUUGAUGUUUCAGGCCUGUAGGUUGCUUCCCUGCCAUACUGUCCCAACUCAUGUAUGUUUCUUACAUUUUGCCUGAAAAAUAACCA